GGACUGGCUCAGUUGAUAGAGCACUGGACUCUUAAUCUCAGGAUUGUGGGUUCGAGCCCCACAUUGCGCCA